rnacentral:rRNA from 1 species
UACGGAGGGUGCGAGCGUUGUCCGGAAUCAUUGGGCGUAAAGGGCGCGUAGGUGGCCCGGUCAGUCUUUGGUGAAAGCGCGGGGCUCAACCCUGCGUCGGCCAGGGAUACUGCCGCGGCUCGAGCACUGUAGAGGCAGGCGGAAUUCCGGGUGUAGCGGUGGAAUGCGUAGAGAUCGGGAGGAACAUCAGUUGCGAAGGCGGCUCUCUGGACCAGCACUGACACUGAGGCACGAAAGCGUGGGGAGCAAACAGG